AGCGAACGCUGGCGGCAGGCCUAACACAUGCAAGUCGAACGAACCUUUCGGGGUUAGUGGCGGACGGGUGAGUAACACGUGGGAACGUGCCUUUAGGUUCGGAAUAACUCAGGGAAACUUGUGCUAAUACCGAAUGUGCCCUUCGGGGGAAAGAUUUAUCGCCUUUAGAGCGGCCCGCGUCUGAUUAGCUAGUUGGUUGAGGUAAUGGCUCACCAAGGCGACGAUCAGUAGCUGGUCUGAGAGGAUGAUCAGCCACAUUGGGACUGAGACACGGCCCAAACUCCUACGGGAGGCAGCAGUGGGGAAUCUUGCGCAAUGGGCGAAAGCCUGACGCAGCCAUGCCGCGGGAAUGAUGAAGGUCUUAGGAUGGUAAAAUUCUUUCACCGGGGACGAUAAUGACGGUACCCGGAGAAGAAGCCCCGGCUAACUUCGU
rnacentral:rRNA from 1 species